UUCAUUUGAUUUACUCUCACAAAACUUCAUCAACCCUUUUUCUCUCUCUUUCUCUCUCUCUGGCGACUCAUGAACAUAUCUGUAAGGAUUUCACCAGAUCUAGGGUUUUACUUUCAUUCGAAUUCAAAUCCAUGACCCCAACCUGUGACGGUGUGGUGUGCAGUGUUAAAAUCCGCUGAUUAGGGUUCCGGCAGUGGGAUUCUCGAGCAGAUUGGUGGCAGACGAGCAUCCGGCUGUAGAUGGUGGUUUUCUGGUAGAUCUAAGUUUUAAACCCCCAGCCGCUCCUUUUCGUUCUCUCUCAAAGAUUCAGUCCAGAUCUACCCUCACUUCGCGAUUCACCAUAAGCUAAGAGGAGACAUGAUAGAGGAGAAAGGGAGCCGACAAAGCCCUAGCUGUUGCAUCAGGCGGAGAUGAGUACUGGAGACCAACUUAGCGUUAUUGAUUAAAAUCUGUAUUUAAAGCUGUGCUUGACUAAUUUCCUGUUGUGUUAUAAUCGGAUUUGUUGUUGUAGCUGAUUGAAGAUGAAUUCAAUGAUUACUAACUGUUUUGUUAGGCUUUUUUGUUUAAUUUUGAUUUUUAUUAAUUGAAAUCUGUUUAUGAACUGUGAUUGAAUGAUUUCAUUUUUUAAUCGGAUGUGUUUGUUAUAGUUGAUGAAAGAAGGAUUAGAUGAAUAUAACUAUUUUGUUUGUUUAAUAUGAUUGUUAUUGAGUGAACUCUGUUUAUGAAGCUGUGAUUGACUGAUUUCAUGUUGUUUCAAUAUUGGAUGUGUUGUUGUAGCUGAUGAAAGGAGGAUUAGAUGAAUAAUAACUGUUUUGUUAUGUUUUGUUUGGUUAAUUUGAUUGUUAUUGAUUGAAACUUGUUUAUGAGCUAUGAUUUCAUGUUGUUUUGAAUUGGAUAUGUCGCUAUACGAGGAUCUGUCUACUGAAAAUGAAAGUAUAGCAGUUGCUUGUGAUGAUGGGUGUGUGUGAUUAUAUAACAUCUCAGAAUCAGAUCAAUUAAACUACUUCAAAUCACUUCCAAGAGUCAAUGGUGAGAUAACACUUCCUGUUCCUGUUACUACUUUUCCAUUUUUUAUUAUAAUUUGUGUAUUUAUUGUACUUUUUAAUCGUUUAUGUGUAUGACGUGUGUUAAGUGUCGCUUGGAGUCUAGAUGCUAAAAGGAUAUAUUCAGGGAGUAGUGAUGGUAAAUAUAUCAUUAUUUUAAAUGGUACUGGUGUAGUUCAGGUAUCUUAAGAUUAUGUUGAGGUUAUAAUUGUCCUGCUAUUGCUUUUGUAGAGUAUCAUUUUAGCUCAUUUUUAUCAUAGAUAAUCACUCAAGCUAGCUUUCUUUUUCAUGACAGUUUCCCUGUUGUACAUUGAUUUGCAGCAAAGAUUCAAGAUUUAAGUGUCCCCAUUUUAUAAAUUAACAAGAUUAAUUGAAAAAAAAUGUGUAGUUAUGAACAAUUUAUCAAUAACUAUGAGUUUAUUGAUAUACAAGGCACUGAUUUUGUUCUUAUAAUUAGUGAUUUGAUUCUAUAAUCUUGAACUUUGUAGGUAUAUAUGACUACACUAGGGGAUAGUGGGCUUGUAGCAGCCAUUAGAAUCGUCACAGCUUUGAUUUGCAGAACUGUAUGUAUUUGGUUGUCGAUUACUGGUAAAAGAAAAUUUGCCAUUGCGUCGUUUCACUUUGCAAGAGUUUGGUUAUGAAGGAUGCAUUUGUUUGUAUGAAGUUGAAGGCUUCAUCAAAUUGGCAAUAAUUACAUUAAAUGAACCUGAAUUGGACCAAUGAAGGGUAUUCCGUAUUGGAUGGCUCCUGAAUUUAUACUUCAGACUGGCCACAACUUUUUUGCUCCUUGUGCUCUGGUCAGACGUAGACGUUGGUGCAGCUGGUAGGCUAGAGAAGACUCACAAACGUUGCAGUCGUUCAGCUAAAGAAGCAUGGAAAUUGAUUUGAGAGUCCUUGUUACAGGAACAAGAUCCUCUCAUGGUUUUCUGACGCUGCUGCUUUGUUGAAGAAUUUUUCUUUGGUUUCUCAAACUAAAUAUUUGGAAAUUUCUGAUCCUGUUAAGAAACUUUCUGUAGACACUAGGAAUGGUCAGAUAAAACCUAGCAAUAAGGUUGUGACCCCUCUGACUUUAGAUGUUAUGGAUCCAUCGUUGGCUUAAUAUCCCAACGGUUAU